AUAUCCAAAUAUCAAGAUCAUUCAUAUGUAAUUCCUCAAACAUCCUCAGAGCACCUAAAAAUGUGUCUAAAAGCAAAAUAAAGUAUGAAAAACGACGAAAAAUUAAAAUCGUGCAAUAAUCGUGCGAAUGGUUUUUAUGCCCAUAAUUGUUCAGAAACAAAGUCUGAUGUUUUAAGCUCCAAAAUCCUUUCUAACUUACACGUAACACUAUGAAAAAUUAAGAACCGACGCAAGUUUUUACUUUGUUUGGGAAAGUUUAAAACAUUGGAUUCAAGAUAUUCAAAUUCAUUUCCAUUUAAAAACCCGCCAAAACAAUGCUUUCAUAUUUUAAAGCUUGACUUGACUCAGUGAAAAUCGUUUUCAAAGCAAAACAUAAAAUUUCAAAAGGAUUAGGCUUCGAGUGCUCCCCCCUGCAAACUGCUGAAACAAUUUACCACAUAAUUAAUCACAUCAAGCACCGAUAACAACUUCACAAAUAAUAUCCAAAUAUCAAGAUCAUUCAUAUGUAAUCCUCAAACAUCCUCAGAGCACCUAAAAAUGUGUCUAAAAGCAAAAUAAAGUAUGAAAAACGACGAAAAAUUAAAAUCGUGCAAUAAUCGUGCGAAUGGUUUUUAUGCCCAUAAUUGUUCAGAAACAAAGUCUGAUGUUUUUAAGCUCCAAAAUCCUUUCUAACUUACACGUAACACUAUGAAAAAUUAAAACCGACGCAAGUUUUUACUUUGUUUCUUUGUUGAGAAAGUUUAAAAACGUUGGAUUCAAGAUAUUCAAAUUCAUUUCCAUUUAAAAACCCGCCAAAACAAUGCUUUUCAUAUUUUAAAAGCUUGACUCCAGUGAAAAUCGUUUUCAGAGCAAAAACAUAAAAUUUCCAUUCAAAAGGAUUAGGCUUCGAGUGCUCCCCCUGCAAACUGCUAGAGCAAUUUACCACAUAAUUAAUCACAUCAAACAACUUCACAAAUGAUAUCCAAAUAUCAAGAUCAUUCAUAUGUAAUCCUCAAUCCUCAGAGCACCUAAAAAUGUAUCUAAAAGCAAAAUGAGUAUGAAAAACGACGAAAAAUUAAAAUCGUGCAAUAACCGUGCGAAUGGUUUUUACGCCCAUAAUUGCUCAGAAACAAAGUCUGAUGUUUUUAAGCUCCAAAAUCCUUUCUAACUUACACGUAACGCUAUGAAAAAUUAAAACCGACGCAAGUUUUUUACUUUGUUUCUUUGUUUGAGAAAAGUUUAAAAACGUUGGAUUCAAGAUAUUCAAAUUCAUUUCCAUUUAAAAACCCGCCAAAACAAUGCUUUUCAUAUUUUAAAAGCUUGACUCCAGUGAAAAUCGUUUUCAGAGCAAAACAUAAAAUUUCCAUUUCAAAAGGAUUAGGCUUCGAGUGCUCCUCCCCCUGCAAACUGCUAGAGCAAUUUACCACAUAAUUAAUCACAUCAAACAACUUCACAAAUGAUAUCCAAAUAUCAAGAUCAUUCAUAUGUAAUCCCUCAACAUCCUCAGAGCACCUAAAAAUGUAUCUAAAAGCAAAAUGAGUAUGAAAAACGACGAAAAAUUAAAAUCGUGCAAUAACCGUGCGAAUGGUUUUUACGCCCAUAAUUGCUCAGAAACAAAGUCUGAUGUUUUUAAGCUCCAAAAUCCUUUCUAACGUACACGUAACGCUAUGAAAAAUUAAAACCGACGCAAGUUUUUUACUUUGUUUCUUUGUUUGAGAAAAGUUAAAAACGUUGGAUUCAAGAUAUUCAAAUUCAUUUCCAUUUAAAACCCGCCAAAACAAUGCUUUUCAUAUUUUAAAAGCUUGACUCCAGUGAAAAUCGUUUUCAGAGCAAAACAUAAAAUUUCCAUUUCAAAAGGAUUAGGCUUCGAGUGCUCCCCCUCCAACUGCUAAAGCAAUUUACCACAUAAUUAAUCACAUCAAACAACUUCACAAAUUGAUAUCCAAAUAUCAAGAUCAUUCAUAUGUGAACAUCCUCAGAGCACCUAAAAAUGUAUCUAAAAGCAAAAUGAGUAUGAAAAACGACGAAAAAUUAAAAUCGUGCAAUAACCGUGCGAAUGGUUUUUACGCCCAUAAUUGCUCAGAAACAAAGUCUGAUGUUUUUAAGCUCCAAAAUCCUUUCUAACGUACACGUAACGCUAUGAAAAAUUAAAACCGACGCAAGUUUUUUACUUUGUUUCUUUGUUUGAGAAAAGUUUGAAAACGUUGGAUUCAAGAUAUUCAAAUUCAUUUCCAUUUAAAACCCGCCAAAACAAUGCUUUUCAUAUUUUAAAAGCUUGACUCCAGUGAAAAUCAUUUUCAGAGCAAAACAUAAAAUUUCCAUUUCAAAAGGAUUAGGCUUCGAGUGCUCUCCCUGCAAACUGCUAGAGCAAUUUACCACAUAAUUAAUCACAUCAAACAACUUCACAAAUGAUAUCCAAAUAUCAAGAUCAUUCAUAUGUAAUCCCUCAACAUCCUCAGAGCACCUAAAAAUGUAUCUAAAAGCAAAAUGAGUAUUGAAAAACGACGAAAAAUUAAAAUCGUGCAAUAACCGUGCGAAUGGUUUUUACGCCCAUAAUUGCUCAGAAACAAAGUCUGAUGUUUUUAAGCUCCAAAAUCCUUUCUAACGUUACACGUAACGCUAUGAAAAAUUAAAACCGACGCAAGUUUUUUACUUUGUUUCUUUGUUUGAGAAAAGUUUAAAAACGUUGGAUUCAAGAUAUUCAAAUUCAUUUCCAUUUAAAAACCCGCCAAAACAAUGCUUUUCAUAUUUUAAAAGCUUGACUCCAGUGAAAAUCGUUUUCAGAGCAAAACAUAAAAUUUCCAUUUCAAAAGGAUUAGGCUUCGAGUGCUCUCCCCUGCAAACUGCUAAAGCAAUUUACCACAUAAUUAAUCACAUCAAACAACUUCACAAAUGAUAUCCAAAUAUCAAGAUCAUUCAUAUGUAAUCCCUCAACAUCCUCAGAGCACCUAAAAAUGUAUCUAAAAGCAAAAUGAGUAUGAAAAACGACGAAAAAUUAAAAUCGUGCAAUAACCGUGCGAAUGGUUUUUACGCCCAUAAUUGCUCAGAAACAAAGUCUGAUGUUUUUAAGCUCCAAAAUCCUUUCUAACGUACACGUAACGCUAUGAAAAAUUAAAACCGACGCAAGUUUUUUACUUUGUUUCUUUGUUUGAGAAAAGUUUAAAAACGUUGGAUUCAAGAUAUUCAAAUUCAUUUCCAUUUAAAAACCCGCCAAAACAAUGCUUUUCAUAUUUUAAAAGCUUGACUCCAGUGAAAAUCGUUUUCAGAGCAAAACAUAAAAUUUCCAUUUCAAAAGAAUUAGGCUCGAGUGCUCCCCCUGCAAACUGCUAGAGCAAUUUACCACAUAAUUGAUCACAUCAAACAACUUCACAAAUGAUAUCCAAAUAUCAAGAUCAUUCAUAUGUAAUCCCUCAACAUCCUCAGAGCACCUAAAAAUGUAUCUAAAAGCAAAAUGAGUAUGAAAAACGACGAAAAAUUAAAAUCGUUGCAAUAACCGUGCGAAUGGUUUUUACGCCCAUAAUUGCUCAGAAACAAAGUCUGAUGUUUUUAAGCUCCAAAAUCCUUUCUAACUUACACGUAACGCUAUGAAAAAUUAAAACCGACGCAAGUUUUUUACUUUGUUUCUUUGUUUGAGAAAAGUUUAAAAACGUUGGAUUCAAGAUAUUCAAAUUCAUUUCCAUUUAAAAACCCGCCAAAACAAUGCUUUUCAUAAUUUAAAAGCUUGACUCCAGUGAAAAUCGUUUUCAGAGCAAAACAUAAAAUUUCCAUUUCAAAAGGAUUAGGCUUCGAGUGCUCCCCCUGCAAACUGCUAGAGCAAUUUACCACAUAAUUAAUCACAUCAAACAACUUCACAAAUGAUAUCCAAAUAUCAAGAUCAUUCAUAUGUAAUCCCUCAACAUCCUCAGAGCACCUAAAAAUGUAUCUAAAAGCAAAAUGAGUAUGAAAAACAACGAAAAAUUAAAAUCGUGCAAUAACCGUGCGAAUGGUUUUUGCGCCCAUAAUUGCUCAGAAACAAAGUCUGAUGUUUUUAAGCUCCAAAAUCCUUUCUAACUUACACGUAACGCUAUGAAAAAUUAAAACCGACGCAAGUUUUUUACUUUGUUUCUUUGUUUGAGAAAAGUUUAAAAACGUUGGAUUCAAGAUAUUCAAAUUCAUUUCCAUUUAAAAACCCGCCAAAACAAUGCUUUUCAUAUUUUAAAAGCUUGACUCCAGUGAAAAUCGUUUUCAGAGCAAAACAUAAAAUUUCCAUUUCAAAAGGAUUAGGCUUCGAGUGCUCCUCCCCCUGCAAACUGCUAGAGCAAUUUACCACAUAAUUGAUCACAUCAAACAACUUCACAAAUGAUAUCCAAAUAUCAAGAUCAUUCAUAUGUAAUCCCUCAACAUCCUCAGAGCACCUAAAAAUGUAUCUAAAAGCAAAAUGAGUAUGAAAAACGACGAAAAAUUAAAAUCGUGCAAUAACCGUGCGAAUGGUUUUUACGCCCAUAAUUGCUCAGAAACAAAGUCUGAUGUUUUUAAGCUCCAAAAUCCUUUCUAACUUACACGUAACGCUAUGAAAAUUAAAACCGACGCAAGUUUUUUACUUUGUUUCUUUGUUUGAGAAAAGUUUAAAAACGUUGGAUUCAAGAUAUUCAAGUUCAUUUCCAUUUAAAAACCCGCCAAAACAAUGCUUUCAUAUUUUAAAAGCUUGACUCCAGUGAAAAUCGUUUUCAGAGCAAAACAUAAAAUUUCCAUUUCAAAGGAUUAGGCUUCGAGUGCUCCCCCUGCAAACUGCUAGAGCAAUUUACCACAUAAUUGAUCACAUCAAACAACUUCACAAAUGAUAUCCAAAUAUCAAGAUCAUUCAUAUGUAAUCCCUCAACAUCCUCAGAGCACCUAAAAAUGUAUCUAAAAGCAAAAUGAGUAUGAAAAACGACGAAAAAUUAAAAUCGUGCAAUAACCGUGCGAAUGGUUUUUACGCCCAUAAUUGCUCAGAAACAAAGUCUGAUGUUUUUAAGCUCCAAAUCCUUUCUAACUUACACGUAACGCUAUGAAAAAUUAAAACCGACGCAAGUUUUUUACUUUGUUUCUUUGUUUGAGAAAAGUUUAAAAACGUUGGAUUCAAGAUAUUUCAAAUUCAUUUCCAUUUAAAAACCCGCCAAAACAAUGCUUUUCAUAUUUUAAAAGCUUGACUCUAGUGAAAAUCGUUUUCAGAGCAAAACAUAAAAUUUCCAUUCAAAAGGAUUAGGCUUCGAGUGCUCCCCCUGCAAACUGCUAGAGCAAUUUACCACAUAAUUAAUCACAUCAAACAACUUCACAAAUGAUAUCCAAAUAUCAAGAUCAUUCAUAUGUAAUCCCUCAACAUCCUCAGAGCACCUAAAAAUGUAUCUAAAAGCAAAAUAAGUAUGAAAAACAACGAAAAAUUAUAAUCGUGCAAUAAUCGUGCGAAUGUUUUUUCUGCCCAUAAUUGCUCGAAACAAAGUCUGAUUUCUAAGCUCCAAAAUCCUUUCUAAUUUACACAUAACAGAACGAAGAAUUAAAACCGACGCAAGUUUUUACUUUGUUUCCCUGUUUAAGAAAGUUUAAAACAUUGGACUAAAGAUAUUGAAAUUCAUUUCCAUUUAAAAACCCGCCAAAACAAUGCUUUCAUAUUUAAAGCUUCACUCCAGUGAAAAUCGUUUUCAAAGCAAAACAUAAAAUUUCAAAAGGAUUAGGCUUCGAGUGCUCCCCCUGCAAACUGCUAAAACAAUUUACCACAUAAUUAAUCACAUCAAACAACUUGACAAAUGAUAUCCAAAUAUCAAAAUCAUUCAUAUGUAAUCCCUCAACAUCCUCAGAGUACCUAAAAAUGUAUCUAAAAGCAAAAUAAGUAUGAAAAACAACGAAAAAUUAAAAUGGUACAAUAAUCGUGCGUAUGGUUUUUAUGCCCAUAAUUGCUCAGAAACAAAGUCUGAUGUUUUUAAGCUCCAAAAUCCUUUCUAACUUACACGUAAUGCUAUGAAAAAUUAAAACCGACGCAAGUUUUUACUUUGUUUCUUUGUUUGAGAAAGUUUAAAACAUUGGAUUCAAGAUAUUCAAGUUCAUUUCCAUUUAAAAACCCGCCAAAAACAAUGUUUUCAUAUUUUAAAGCUUGACUCCAGUGAAAAUCGUUUUCAGAGCAAAACAUAAAAUUUCAAAAGGAUUAGGCUUCGAGUGCUCCUCCUGCAAACUGCUAAAACAAUUUACCACAUAAUUAAUCACAUCAAACAACUUCACAAAUGAUAUCCAAAUAUCAAGAUCAUUCAUAUGUAAUCCCUCAACAUAUUCAGAGCACCUAAAAAUGUAUCUAAAAGCAAAAUAAGUAUGAAAAAUAACGAAAAAUUAAAAUCGUGCAAUAAUCGUGCGAAUGGUUUUUAUGUCCAUAAUUGCUCAGAAACAAAGUCUGAUGUUUUUAAGCUCCAAAAUCCUUUCUAACUUACACGUAACGCUAUGAAAAAUUAAAACCGACGCAAGUUUUUACUUUAUUUCUUUGUUUGAGAAAGUUUAAAACAUUGGAUUCAAGAUAUUGAAAUUCAUUUUCAUUUAAAAACCCGCCAAAACAAUGCUUUCACAUUUCAAAGCUUGACUCCAGUGAAAAUCGUUUUCAAAGCAAAACAUAAAAUUUCAAAAAGAUUAGGCUUCGAGUGCUCCCUUUGCAAACUGCUAAAACAAUUUACCACGUAAUUAAUCACAUCAAACAACUUUACAAAUGAUAUCCAAAUAUCAAGAUCAUUCAUAUGUAAUUCCUCAGCAUCCUCAGAGCACCUAAAAAUGUAUCUAAAAGCAAAAUAAGUAUGAAAAACAACGAAAAAUUAAAAUCGUGCAAUAAUCGUGCGAAUAGUUUUUAUGCCCAUAAUUGCUCAGAAACAAAGUGUGAUGUUUUAAGCAUGUAAUUUCUCAACAUCCUCAGAGCACCUAAAAAUAUAUCUAAAAGCAAAAUAAGUAUGAAAAACAACGAAAAAUUAAAAUCGUGCAAUAAUCGUGCGAAUGGUUUUUAUGCCCAUAAUUGCUCAGAAACAAAGUGUGAUGUUUUAAGCAUGUAAUUCCUCAACAUCCUCAGAGCACCUAAAAAUGUAUCUAAAAGCAAAAUAAGUAUGAAAAACAACGAAAAAUUAAAAUCGUGCAAUAAUCGUGCGAAUGGUUUUUAUGCCCAUAAUUGCUCAGAAACAAAGUCUGAUGUUUUAAGCAUGUAAUUCCUCAAUAUCCUCAGAGCACGUAAAAAUGUAUCUAAAAGCAAAAUAAGUAUGAAAAACAACGAAAAAUUAAAAUCGUGCAAUAAUCGUGCGAAUCGUUUUUAUGCCCAUAAUAGCUCAGAAACAAAGUCUGAUGUUUUAAGCUCUAAAAUCCUUUCUAACUUACACGUAACACUAUGAAAAAUUAAAACCGACGCAAGUUUUUACUUUGUUUCUUCGUUUGAGAAAGUUUAAAACAUUGGAUUCAAGAUAUUCAAAUUCAUUUCCAUUUAAAAACCCGCCAAAACAAUGCUUUCAUAUUUUAAAGCUUGACUCAAGUGAAAAUCGUUUUCAAAGCAAAACAUAAAAUUUCAAAAGGAUUAGGCUUCGAGUGCUCCCCCUGCAAACUGCUAAAACAAUUUACCACAUAAUUAAUCACAUCAAACAACUUCAAAAAUAAUAUCUAAAUAUCAAGAUCAUUCAUAUGUAAUUCCUCAACAUCCUCAGUGCACCUAAAAAUGUAUCUAAAAGCAAAAUAAGUAUGAAAAACAACGAAAAAUUAAAAUUGUGCAAUAAUCGUGCGAAUGGUUUUUAUGCCCAUAAUUGCUCAAAAACAAAGUCUGAUGUUUUAAGCUCCAAAAUCCUUUCUAACUUACACGUAACACUAUGAAAAAUUAAAACCGACGCAAGUUUUUACUUUGUUUCUUCGUUUGAGAAAGUUUAAAACAUUGGAUUCAAGAUAUUCAAAUUCAUUUCCAUUUAAAAAUCCGCCAAAACAAUGCUUGCAUAUUUUAAAGCUUGACUCCAGUGAAAAUCGUUUUCAAAGCAAAACAUAAAAUUUCAAAAGGAUUAGGCUUCGAGUGCUCCCCCUGCAAACUGCUAAAAUAAUUUACCACAUAAUUAAUCACAUCAAACAACUUCACAAAUAAUAUCCAAAUAUCAAGAUCAUUAUAUGUAAUUCCUCAACAUCCUCAGAGCACCUAAAAAUGUAUCUAAAAGCAAAUAAGUAUGAAAAACAACGAAAAAUUAAAAUCGUGCAAUAAUCGUGUGAAUGGUUUUUCUGCCCAUAAUUGUUCAGAAACAAAGUCUGAUGUUUUAAGCUCCAAAAUCCUUUCUAACUUACACGUAACACUAUGAAAAAUUAAAACCGACGCAAGUUUUUACUUUGUUUCUUUGUUUGAGAAAGUUUAAAACAUUGGAUUCAAGAUAUUGAAAUUCAUUUCCAUUUAAAAAUCCGUCAAAACAAUGCUUUCAUAUUUUAAAGCUUGACUCCAGUGAAAAUCGUUUUCAAAGCAAAACAUAAAAUUUCAAAAGGAUUAGGCUUCGAGUGCUCCCCCUGCAAACUGCUAAAACAAUUUACUACAUAAUUAAUCACAUCAAGCACCGAUAACAACUUCAAAAUAAUAUUCAAAUAUGAAG
rnacentral:lncRNA from 1 species